rnacentral:rRNA from 1 species
UACGGAGGGAGCUAGCGUUGUUCGGAAUACUGGGCGUAAAGCGCACGUAGGCGGAUUGUAAGUCAGGGGUGAAAUCCCGAGGCUCAACCUCGGAACUGCCUUUGAUACUGCAAUCUCGAGUCCGGAAGAGGUGAGUGGAAUUCCUAGUGUAGAGGUGAAAUUCGUAGAUAUUCGCAAGAACACCAGUGGCGAAGGCGGCUCACUGGCCAUAACUGACGCUGAGGUGACGAAAGCGAUGGGAG